GACGAACGCUGGCGGCGUGCUUAACACAUGCAAGUCGAACGGAAAGGCCCUGCUUUUGUGGUGGGCUCGAGUGGCGAACGGGUGAGUAACACGUGAGUAACCUGCCCUUGACUUUGGGAUAACUUCAGGAAACUGGGGCUAAUACCGGAUAGGAGCUCCUGCUGCAUGGUGGGGGUUGGAAAGUUUCGGCGGUUGGGGAUGGACUGGCGGCUUAUCAGCUUGUUGGUGGGGUAGUGGCUUACCAAGGCUUUGACGGGUAGCCGGCCUGAGAGGGUGACCGGCGACAUUGGGACUGAGAUACGGCGCAGACUCCUACGGGAGGCAGCAGUGGGGAAUAUUGCACAAUGGGCGGAAGCCUGAUGCAGCAACGCCGCGUGCGGGAUGACGGCCUUCGGGUUGUAAACCGCUUUCGCCUGUGACGAAGCGUGAGUGACGGUAAUGGGUAAAGAAGCACCGGCUAACUACGUG
rnacentral:rRNA from 1 species